UAGCAAGAUUACAACAGUUAAAACAUUUUUUUUUAAGGCUGGAGGAGAUCUGAUCUUGCAGGCAAGAAAGCCAGAUGAGCCAUUGGCAGGAUGUUAAAAGCUCCACAAAGAUAAGUCUCCUUUCUCCUCUGGCUUUACCCACAGUCUGAGAUUCUUGGCACUGAUUGCUUCUUUAGGUGGGGAGAAUGGACAUUUCCGUCCAGCAAUUUCCAAUCACUGGAGUUGGUUCUUUGUGAUUUCUCAGGAAGAAACUGCAGAAUGUGAGUCACAAAUAUGAUGAAAACAAAAAGAGGAAGCCUGGGAUUCAGGAAAUAGAGGACUCAACAUAAGAGUGAAGACAUCUAGGAUGAUGGGGAAGGGAAGUUCCAGAACAACAGCUAUGCAACAGGCCUUGAGAAGGAACAACCAAUGUUGAACUUCUAUUCCUGGUGUUCUAAAAUGUUAUCAUGAAGGUUGGCCGAGUAGUGUGUUGGUUAGGAGUUGGCUUGGGAUGCCAGCUCUGAG